rnacentral:rRNA from 1 species
UACGAAGGGGGCGAGCGUUGUUCGGAUUUACUGGGCGUAAAGGGCGCGCAGGCGGCCGGCCAAGUCAGGCGUGAAAGCCCCGGGCUUAACCUGGGAAUUGCGUCUGGGACUGGUUGGCUAGAGAUCGGGAGAGGAGAGUGGAAUUCCCAGUGUAGAGGUGAAAUUCGUAGAUAUUGGGAAGAACACCGGUGGCGAAGGCGGCUCUCUGGGACGGUACUGACGCUGAGACGCGAAAGCGUGGGGAGCGAACAGG